rnacentral:misc_RNA from 1 species
GUGUCUGGCUCCGAUCCAAGCCCUACAUCUAAAUAACUCAUCUCCGACCAAGCCACCGCCGGCCGUGCAGAUCCGGUCCGUAUGGGCCAGCAACCUCGAGUCGGAGUUCGACCUAAUCGCCGGUUUCGUCGACAGUUUCCCUUUCGCCGCCAUGGACACGGAGUUCCCCGGAGUCAUUCACCGUCCCCGCUGCCACCCCCGCCACCUCACUCCGGCGGAGCGGUACGCUUUUCUCAAGUCCAACGUUGAUGCACUCGGUAUCAUACAACUCGGUCUCACUCUUUCCGACGCUUCCGGCCGACUCCCGGAAGUCGCCGGCUUACCUGUAAUAUGGGAGUUCAACUUUUGUGAUUUCAAUCUCAAUCGAGGCGAUCUUCAUGCUCUGGAAUCAAUUAAUUUGCUUCAGUCACAUGGAAUUGACUUUGAUGCUAAUAGUAUUUACGGGAUCGAUUCAGUUGACUUUGGCGCUCUA